UACAGGGGGUGCAAACGUUGCUCGGAAUUAUUGGGCGUAAAGCGCGCGUAGGCGGCUACUUAAGUCGGAUGUGAAAGCCCUUGGCUCAACUGAGGAAGUGCACCCGAAACUGAGUGGCUUGAGUACUAAAGAGGGUCGCGGAAUUCCCGGUGUAGAGGUGAAAUUCGUAGAUAUCGGGAGGAACACCGGUGGCGAAGGCGGAUCUCUGGGCCUUACCUGACGCUGAGGAGCGAAAGCAUGGGGAGCAAACAGG
rnacentral:rRNA from 1 species